GUCAUUGGUGCAAGUUGACAUUCGUUUGACGCAUUUUUUGUUUUGUUUGUGGGUGUUUCUUCAAUUUUUUGCCAUUUUAGGCAUUUAUAUACUAUUCGUUCAUUUUCCGGCUAUUAUUAAAGAAGUAAUGUUUUUUAUGUUAUUUGUCACAAUAUUCUAAGGUGAUUUGUUAAAGUCAAAAUUCUAUUGUGUUAUUUUUUUUAUUGUUUAUUUGUGUAUGUAAAUUUUUUGGCAAUUUAAGUAAUAUUCGACCACUUCCGGGCUAUUACGAAAAGAAGUAAAGUUCUGUUCUGCUAUUUUUCACGAUAUUCAAAGGUCAUUGGUGCAAGUCCAAAAUAUGUGAGGCUUUAUUAAAUUUUUGUGUGUAUCUUCAUUUUACAUCAAAUUUGUGGCAUUACGUAAUAUUCAACCAUUAUUUAGUAGUUACGGAAAGAAGUAAAAUUAUGUUCUAUUAAUUAUCACGAUAUUCUAAGGUCAGUCAUUAGUACAAGUAAAAAUUUGUGUUGUGUUUUUUGUAUUGCUUAUGUUUGUUAAUUUUUCAGCCAAUUUUGGGCAUUACAUAAUAUUCAACCAUUUAUGGGCAUUAAAACAAACAGAAGUAAAAUUUGUUCUGUUAUUCAUCAUGUUAUUAAAAGUUCAUUGGUGCAAAUCCUAAUUUUUUAAGGCAUUUUUUGUAUUUUUUUUGUGUUUCUUGACUUUACAAUAAUUUUGAGGUAUUCACAUAAUAUUAAAUAAUUUUUGGGCAGUUAAUAAAAUAAUUAAUGUCUUGUUCUGUUAUUUAUCGUGAUAUUCUAAGGUUAUUGGUACAAUUCAAAAAUUUAUUGAGGGAGUAUUUGUAUUGGUUUUUUCAGUGCUUCUUGAUUUUUAAGCCAUUUCAAGGCAUUUACGCAAUACUUCGCCAUUUUUUGUUAGUAACUAAAAAAAGAUAAGUUUUGUUCUAUUAUUCAUCACGAUAUUCUAAUGUCAUUGGUAAAAGUCAAUUUUAUGAGGCAAUUAUUGUAUUGUUUAUGUGUGUUUCUUUAUUUUUCUAUCAUUUUGAAGGCAAUUACGUAAUAUUCCCUUUUAGGGAAAUAACAAAAAGAUUAAAGUUUUGUUCUCUUUUUUGACCAAUAUUCUAUGUUAGUUGGUGCAAGUAAAAAAUUAUUUGAGUGUUUAUAUUGUUUAUGUGGAUCUCUUCAUUUUUCCACCAUUUACGUUCAUUUUCAGGCAAUUACGAAAUGAAGAAAACUUUUGUUCAGUUAUUCAUCAAAAUAUUCUAAGUUCAUUGGUGCAAGUCAAAAAAUUUGAAGAAUUGUAUGUAUUGUUUAUGUGUGCUAUUUGAUUAUUAGAUUAUUUCAGGACAUUUAGGUAAUAUUUGGCUAUUUUUGGGUAAUUACAAAAGAAGUAAAGCUUUGUUGUGUCAUUCAUCACAAUAUUCUACGGUCAUUCAGUUAAGUUGAAAAUUUAUGAGGCAUUUUUUGUAUUUUUUAUGUGUAUUUCUUUAUUUUUGGCCAUUUGAAACAUUUACGUAAUAUUUAGCCAUUUUCGGGCUACAGAAAUAAAUAAUGUUUUGCUCCUUUAUUCAUCGUGAUAUUCUAAGGUUUAUGGUGCAAGUUGAAAUAGUUUUGAGGUAUUUUUUGUAUUGUUUAUAUGUGUUUCUUGAUUUUUCGGGCCUUUUGGGCGUUUUUGUAAUAUUUGGUUAUUUUCUGGCACUUACUAAAAUAAGUAAACUUUUCUUCUAGUAUUUGUCUCGAUACUAUUAGGUUAUUAGUGCAAGUCAAAAAAAUUUGAGUCAUUUUUCUACUGUUCAUGGGAUUUCCUUGAUUUUUUCCCCAUUUAUGGGUAUUCAAUAAUAAUCAAACAUUUUCAUGCAAUUAUAAAAUGAAAUAAAAAUUUGUUUUGUUAUUCGACAUGAUAAUCUAAGGUCAUUGGUGUAAGUUGAAAUGGUUUUUGACCCUUUUUAUAUUGUUUCUAGUGUUUCUUUAUUUUCAACAAUUUUGGCUAAUUAUGUAAUAUUUGGCAAUACUCGGAAGUUACCAAAAGAAAUAAUGUUUUGUUCUUUUAGUCGUCAUGAUAUUUAUGUGGUCAUCGGUGUAAGAAAAAAUAUUUUGAGGUGUUUUUGUAUUUUCUAUGCGUAUUUGUUGAUUUUUAACCCUUUUGAGGUAUUUUCGUGACGUUCAUCCAUUUUAGGAAAGUUACGAAAAGAAAUAAUUUUGUGUUCAAUUAUUCGUCACAAGACCUAAUGUCAUUGGAGCAAGUCGGAUAUGUUUUUCUAGCAAUUUUUGUAUUAUUGACGUGUGCUUCUUGAUUUUAAGUCAUUUUGGGGAAUAUGCAUAAUAUUCGGUAAUUUUCAGGUAGUGACGAAAAAAAUAAAGUUUUAUUUAGUUAUUCAUCCUGAUAUUAUAUGGUCAUGACGUAUUUUGCAUUGUUUAUGUGUGUUUGUUAAUUUUACGGUCUUUUUGGAUAUUUAUGUAAUAUUUUGUCAUUUUAGGGUAAAGAAGAAGAGAAGUAAAGUUUUCUUCGGUUACUCUUCAUGAUAUUAUAACUUCAUUGAUGCAAAUCAAAACUUUUCAGAUGUUUUUGUAUUUUUUAUGUGUAUUUCUUGAUUUUUUAGCCAUUUGGGACCUUUACGUAAUAUUAUGCCAGUUUUGGACAGUUACAAAAAGAAGUAAUGUUUUGUUCAUUUAUUCAUUACGAUAUUCUAAGGUCAUUGGUGCAAGUUCAAAAAAUUUUAAGUCAAUUUUUUAUUGUUUUAUGCAUUUACAUAUUAUUUCACCAUUGGUGGGCACUUAUGAAAGAAGUAAAGUUUUCUUCUGUUAUUUGUCAUUAUAUUCUACGAUUAUUGGUAAAGGUCAAAAUAUUCUGGAGUUGUUUUUUGUAUUGUUUAUUUAUUUGUGUAUCGUUAUUUUCUACAUUUUUAGUAAUAUUCUGCCAUUUUCGGGCAGUUGUGAAAAGAGGUAAAGUUUUGUUUUGCUAUUCAUCACGAUAUUAAAAGGUCAUUGUUGCAAGUCCAAUUUUUGUUUUAGUUUUUUUUUGUUAUUUUUUAUGUGUCUAUCUUGAUUUUUCAUCAAUUUUGGGGUAUUAUGUAGUAUUCGGCCAUUUUUAUGAAUAUAAAAAAGAAGUAUUAUUUUUUUUUACUUGUCGCAAUAUUCUAAUGUCAUUCGUGCAAGUCAAAAAAUAUUUAAGGUGUUUUUUUAUUGUUUAUGCGUGUUUCUGGAUUUUUUGCUAUUUUGGAGCAUUGAAGUAAUAAUCCUUCAUUCUUGGGAAGUUACAAAAAGAAGUAAAAUUUUAUUCCUUUUAUUCCUCAUGAUAUUCUAAGGUAAUUGGUGUAAGUCAAAAUAAUUUAAGCCGUUUUUUGUAUUGGUUAUGUGUGUAUCUUCAUUAUUCAGCUACUAUAGGUCAUUUAUGUAAUAUUUGGCAACUUUUAGGUAGUUAUGAAAAGAAUAAAAGGGUUUUUCUAUUAUUCGUCAUGAUAUUCUAGUGUCACUGGUGCAAGUCGAUAUUUUUUCGAGGCAUUUUUGUAUCAUUUAUGUGUGUUUCUUGAUUUUUUGGCAAUUUUUGGACAUUUACGUAAUUUUGGGUCCUUCGUUGACAGUUACAAAAAAAGUAUGUUUUUUUCCUAUUAUUCGUCACUAUUUUCUAAGGCCGUUGAUGCAAGUCAAAAAAGAUUUGAGGCACUUUUUGCAUUGUUUUUGUGUGUUUAUUGAGUUUUCGGUCAUUUAGUGGAAAUUAAAGAAUAUUCGGUCAUUUUCGGAAGUUUAGAAAUAUGUUGUUCUGUCAUUCGUCACUGUAUUCUAAGAUCAUUGGUGUAAGUCAAAAAAUUUUGUGGCUUAUUUUAAUUGUUUGUGCGUGUCUUGAUUAUUUUGUAAUUUUGCGGUAUUUCCAUAAUAUUCUGUCAUUUUUUUACAGUUACGAAAUGAAAUUAAGUUUUGUUAUGUGAUUCGUCACGGUAUUCUAAGGUCACUAAUACAAGUCAAGAAAAUUUAGGCUUUUUUGAAUUGUUUAUGUCUGGUUCUUUAUUAAUCAGACGAUUUAGCGCAUUUACGUAAUAUUUACCCAUUUUCGAACAAUUAUUAAAGAUUAGUUAGUUGGUUCGGUUAUUAUCACGAUAUUCUAAUGUCAUUUGUUCAAGUCAAAAAUUUUACUGGCGUUUGUUAUCAUUUAUGUGUGUUUCUUUAUUUUUCAAUAUUUCAGAAAUUUAUGUAAUAUUCGGUUAUUUUUGGGCAGUUAGAAAAGUAAAGUUAUGUUUUGUUAUUAAUCACAAUAUUUUUAUGUCCUUCAUCAAUGUUGAAAUUCUUUUGAGACGUGUUUUGUAUUGUUUAUGGAUUUUUUUAAUGUUUCAACCAUAUUGGGCAUUGGCGUAAUAUUCGUCCAUUUCAAGAAGUUACAAAAAGAUGUAAAGUUUUUCUCUCUUAUUCGUCACAACAUUCUAAGGUCAUUGGUGCAAGUGAAAAAAAUUAAGGUACUUUUUGUAUUGUUUAUGUGCUUCUUCAAUUUUCAGUCAUUUUCUCUCUGUUACGAAAAGAAGUAAAGUUUUAUUCUUUUAUUUGUCGCGGUAUUCUAAAUUCAUUGGUGCAAGUCAGAAAAAUUGCAGUGUUUUUUGUAUUUUGUAUGUGUCUUUCUUGAUUCUCAGUAAUUUUGAGGCAUUUACGCAAUAUUCGGUAAUUUUCUGGCAGUUAUGAAAAGAAGUAAAAUAUUAUUAUGUUAUACGUCACGAUAUUCUAUGGUCACUAGUGCAAGUUGAUUUUAUUUCACGCAUUUUUCUAUUGUUUGUGUGUAUUUGUUGAUUUAUCGGCCAUUUUUGAAUAUUUACAUAUUUUUCGGCCAUUUUCUGGAUGUUAUGAAUAAAAUAAAGUUUGAUUCCUUAUUCCUCACGAUAUUCCUUGGUCAUUAGUUCAAGUUGAAAUUUGUUUUUAGGUGUUUAUUUGUUUUAUGUGUGUUUCUUUAAUUUUUAGUCAUUUACAUAAUAUUCGGCCAUUUUUGGGCAAUUACGGAAAUAAGUAAUGUUUUCUUUUGUUAUUUGUCACGAUAUUUUAAGGUCAUUAGUUCAAGUCCAAGAAUUUUUUAUGCAUUUUCUUUAUUGUUUAUGUAUAUUUCCUCAUUUUUGGUCAUUUUCGGGCAUUUACGUUAUAUUCUGCCAUUUUUCAGAUAGUUACGAAAAGAGGUAAAGUUUUGUUUUUCAUUCAUCAGAUUUUCAUUGGUGCUUGUUGAAAUUUUUUUGAGGUGUUUUUGUAUGGUUUGACAUUUGUUUUGUUUAUUUUUGGGCAUUGACAUAAUAUUCUGCCAUUGUCGGAUCGUUACGAAAAAAAGUAAAGAUUUGUUCUUUUUAUUUGUCACGAUAUUCUAAGGUCACUAGUCCAAGUAGAAUUUUUUUUAUAUGUUUUUGUAUUGUUUAUGUGUUUCUUUAUUUUUCGAUCAUUUUGUUGCAGUUAUAUUAUAUUGUUCAUUUUUGCGUAGGUACAAAAUGAAUUAAAGUUAUUGUUUUUUAUUCGUCAUGAUAAGCAAGAGAAUUUAUGAAGUGCAAACAAUUAAAGGAAUUUUAAGAGUCAAGUCUUAUAAUGCAAGUGCACAUAAGCAAGAGAAUUUAUGAGUCAAGGAUUGAAUUAGUGGCAUUUUUAGGCCAUAUUGUGUCUAAAUAAUGAAUUAAAGUUGAUACUCAAAAUUUGAGGCAGUGCUGAUUUUUCCUAGACCCAUAUCUCCGACUGAUAUGAGGAGUUUCUUUGUUUUGGCUGGCUAUUAUCAAAGGUUAGUAGAGGGGUUCUCGUCAAUUUCGUCUCCUAUGAUGAAAUGGACUCAGAAGAAAAUUAUGUUCAAUGGUUUGAAACUUGUAAGAAAAACUUUCAGAAAUUGAAUAAGAAGUUGACUAAUGCCCCAAUUUUGACCUUACCAUAAGGUACACAAGGUUUUGUUAUCUAUUGUGAUGCGUCUACAGUAUGUUGUGGCUGCGUAUUGAUAUAGAAUGGUAAUGCUAUUGCUUAUGCCUCCAUAUAUUUGAAAGUUCAAGAGAAUAACUACCUACCAGAUGACUUAUACUUGGUCUUUGUAGUAUUUUCUAUGAACAUAUGGUGUCACUAUUUUAAUGGUAUUCAUGUUGAUGUAUUUACUGAUCACAAGAGCCUUCAAUAUCUCUUCACUCGGAAAGAUCUUAAUCACAGACAAAUGAGGUGUUUAGAAUUGAUCAAAGAUUAUGACAUGAGUAAUAUUUAUCACAAGGUAAGGCUAAUGUUGUUGCGAAUACCUUAAGCAGGUUGCCUAUUGUAAUACCACCCAUGUUGAGUAUGAAAAGAGAGAGUUAGAGAACGAUGUACAUAGACUUGCAUGAUUAGAAUUCCGACUAAUGGAUUCCACGGAAGGACGAGUAGUGAUGAAUGGGGUUGCAUCAUCAGUAAUGUCAGAAGUAAAAUAAAAGCAAGACCAUGACGCUAUUUUUCUUGAAUUAAAUGCAAUUGUCCAUAAGAAAAAGUAUUGUCCUUUGAACUAGAGGGAUAUGGUGUAUUAAGUUAUCAAGGUAGAAUGUGUGUAGCAAUGGUGUAUGGACUCCAAGAGAGGAUCAUGGAGGAAGCUCAUAGAUUCAAUAUUCCAUUCAUCUGGGUUCCAAAAAGAUGUAUCAUGACUUUAUAAAGGUUUAUUGGUGGAAUAGUAUGAAGAGGUAAUUGCAGAUUUUGUUGCUAACUGGACAAAUUACAAACAAGAUAACGUAGAGCACCAAAGGCCCGGUGGUUUUGCUAAGAAUAUUAAUCUUACGAAAUGGAAGUGGAAGAUGAUAAAUAUGAAUUUUAUCAAAACCUCAUAGGUUUACCAAGGUCUCCAAAUCACCAUGAUUCCUUUUGGGUGAUCGUAAAUAAAACGACAAAAUUAGCCCACUUUUCUAUGGUAAAAACCAUCCAUUAGGCAGAAGAUUAUGUUAAGUUAUAUCUCCAAGAAGUAGUUAGAGUUCAUGGUGUUCCAGUAUCCAUUAUUUAAUAAAGAGGUGCGCAAUUUACUACACAAUAAUAGAAAUAUUUUAGGAAAGGGUUGGGUUGAAAGGUAAACUUAAGUACCACAUAUCAUCCUUAGACUGUUUGGCAAGCAGAUUGCACUAUACAGACACUAGAGGAUAUGUUGGGGGCAUAUGUGAUCGAUUUUAAUGGUAAUUAGGGUGAUCUCCUACCUCUUAUCGAGCUCACUUAUACAAUAUUUACCACUCUAGCAUCCAAAUGGCUCCUUAUGAAUAUCUUUAAGGGAGAAGAUGCAUAUCUCCUAUUGGAUUGUUUGAAAUUUGUUAAGUAGCAUUGAUAGGACCAGAUGUAGUUCAUCAAGCUAUUGAGAAGUAAAUGUUAUUCGAGAAAUGUUGAAAGUAGCAUAUAGUCGUCAUAAAUCCUACAUUGAUGUUUUGAAAAGAAAGUUAGAGUUUGAAGUAGAUGAUUGGUGUAUUUAAAGAUUCACCCAUGAAUGGUGUUGUGAGGUUAAGUAAGAAGGGGAAGCUUAGUCCCUCGUAUUUUUUACCUUAUGGAAUAUCCAAGAGGAUUGUCAAUGUAGCUUAUCAGUUGCAGCUACCACAAGAGUUUGUCGCGGUUCAUUCGGUGUUUCACAUCUCCAUGUUGAAAAAGUUCAUGGGAGAUCCAUCAUUGAUCAUACCAAUUUAAGAUAUUGGGAUCAAGUAUAACUUAUCUUAUGAGGAGAUUCUUGUUCGAAUUCUAGAUCGCCUAGUUAACAAGUUGAGGUCAGAAGAUGUAGCAUCAGCCAUCGUCCUUUGGAGGAACCAAUUGAAGGAAGAUCAUUAGGAAGCUGAGGACGAUAUCAAGAAGAUAUAUGCACAUAUUUUUGAAUCUGGAGUAAGCGCAAACCAAGGUUCCGAUCGUUAAAAGGCUUGUUCCUAGUUUGCAAGAAGGCUCGGAUCAUUCCACCUAGUGUGGGCAUGUCCUCAUGUUCCGAGCAGGAUGCCUUUCUUACUCUAGGUAUGUUGCAUUGUUAUAAUAUAAAGACAAUCAUUUGCCUCUUUUGUUUUAAGACAUUGUUGUAAGCCCUAAGUGGAAUUUAUUUAUUUUUGUAAGGGUUUUGCCCAUAUUGUUCGAUUUCAUUUAGAUGGUUCAAUAUGAGACAUCCCAUUUAAGACUCUAUUGUGUAUCUUUUAUAUGUAUACAUAUAUAUAUAUGUGUGUGUGUGUAUGUGUGUGAGUUUAUGCCAUAAAAGAAGAAAAUUGUGUAAUAUUCUUAUACGAGUGGUUUAUGUAUACUCGCUAUGAAUACAUUAUUUGUAAGCUAGAGGUCUAAGUAAACCUCAUGAAGUAAUUGUAGAUGAAAAGUUUUAAAUUUUCCUCAUUUUUAACCUAUGAAUGUACUCAUGAAUGCUAAGAGUCUAGUCUUAGUCCUUUCCAAGUACGACGUGCUGGUUAAGUCUUGUGUGCUCCCUGGUUGUGACAAACAUGGUAUUAAAUCAUGAGGUUGAUUAUCUCUAGAAUCGAUUUCUCAUUAAACAACGUCUGUGUAGAUUUUUAUACAUAAUUGUGAAGCGCGCCACACUUAUAAAUGAGAGAUUAUGUGAUUCUUAGGAAACUCUCAUCUUCUCGCAUUCCUAUUUUGUGCCUCUAAAGUAGUAUUUUGUGCUUUCACCUAUACCUUUUAUUGUGGUUAUAACUAUGAAUACUUGAAGGGAAGCGACAAGAAGGGCCAAAAAAGGUAUUGCCAAUGUGAGGGCUAAUGACAAUCAACCUCCUCCACAAGACAACUAAGUGACUCCCCUUGAAGAAGUUGCUAUAAAUUGUCAAGUUUGGGUUGUUCCUCCACCUAUGAUGGAUGGAAAGAUAAGGGCGACUUUUCUCAAUUUGUCCUAAGCUAAUGCGGUAACUUCUCAAGUCCAAGACCUGAUGACCCAAAUAAAUAGGGAGGUCGAACCCCAAGUGCCUCAACAUUCUAGAGCUAUGGCUUCUCGUUUGAGAGACUUUUCUUGAAUUAACCCACAUGUGACAGCCGUAAAAAUGAAUAUGCUAUGUAAUGGUUAAUGUGUCUUGAAUGCC